UAUUGCUGAAGUGAUCAGAGUCUUUCCACAUUAGUGGUAUUCGAAUAUCUAUAAAGAAGGGAAAAAGAAAUGACAAGUAAUAAUUUUGGUAAGUUUUAUUCUUUACAGUGACCUGAAACUCUGCAUUCCAUAAUAAUUCUGACUACUAUAGCUAAAAUAAAGUGUUAUUAUUUAACAGCACAUUUUCUAGACAUUGUUUAUAGUUUGUACUUUUAAAAAGUUAAUCCGUGAAAUUUUUGUGAGGUAAAAAUAUAUUCUUCUUAUAACCCCACCCCACAACAGUCCCCAGUGAGUGAUGUUCCCCUUCCUGUGUCCAUGUGUUCUCAUUGUUCAAUUUCCACCUAUGAAUUUAUUUUCAAUAGUUUCAUCUUUUAUUCUUAUUAUUUUAGCUAGAACUUCUAAAAUUGUUAAAUUAUAUUGGCAUAACAGA
rnacentral:lncRNA from 1 species